AUAAUUACCUGGCAGGGGAGAUACCAUGAUCACGAAGGUGGUUUUCAAGGGCAAGGUUUAUCCAUUGCAUUCCAGUUGUGCUGACCCCUGCGAUUUCCCCAAAUGUGGAAACUGCAUAAUUUGUGGUAGUGAGGGACUGCGUUCGCGCUCUGCCCUG